rnacentral:misc_RNA from 1 species
AAGUCGUAACAAGGUUUCCGUAGGUGAACCUGCGGAAGGAUCAUUAAAAAAUGAUGAAUUUGCCGGGGCGGAUUCUGUCCCGGCGUAUUCAACAACCCGCUCUUGUAUUUGGAUCAAACGUCAAACAAAACUUUUUGUAUAAAAAACAAACUUUCAACAACGGAUCUCUUGGCUCUC